rnacentral:tRNA from 1 species
AUUCAAAUAGCUUAUAUUUAGAGCGUGACACUGAAGAUGUUAAUGAAAUCAAUUGAUUUUUGAAUA